CAAUGAAUUGAUGAUAACGAUUAUUCGGAUAUAUUAAUUUAUUGUGUCGACUAAAACUCAGACUACAAUUAUCUGAUCAUUG
rnacentral:snoRNA from 2 species